rnacentral:rRNA from 1 species
AUGUCGUGGUCUUCUGGUGGUUCGAGUGCUCCCAGCUUCCGUCGAGCCACCGGAAGGAGAGGGGAGGAAUCUAGGUCGCCGGUGCCGUACCGCGAGGCCCCGAUGGCGUACGAGCCAGCGAGGCUCUGCUGGUGCAACCCCCAUCGGAAGGCGCCUAGGUGGAUCUCCUGGAGCCGUCAGAAUCCAGGCAGGAGAUACUACGCCUGUGUUGAUGCGAUGGUGAGCUUCAAGUUGCUGUUUUUUUGUUCUGUUCAUUUGUCCCCCCCCCCUCAUUGA